rnacentral:tRNA from 1 species
AUUCAAAGGAUGGGAAUCGAACCCACGACCUUCCGCUUACCGGGCAGAUGCCAUGACCACUAGGCUACUCUGGA